CAAGAGCGUAUGUAAAAGUUGUUGCAGUUAAAAAGCUCGUAGUUGAACCUUGGGUUUGGUUGGCCGGUCCGCUUUUUUGCGAGUACUGGAUUCAACCGAGCCUUUCCUUCUGGCUAACCAGUCGUUUCGGCGGCUGGCGAACCAGGAUUUGUACUUUGAGAAAAUUAGAGUGUUCAAAGCAGGCAUUAGCUUGAAUAUAUUAGCAUGGAAUAAUAGAAUAGGACGUUAUGGUUCUAUUUUGUUGGUUUCUAGGACCAUCGUAAUGAUUAAUAGGGACGGUCGGGGGCAUCAGUAUUCAGUUGUCAGAGGUGAAAUUCUUGGAUUUACUGAAGACUAACUACUGCGAAAGCAUUUGCCAAGGACGUUUUCAUUAA
rnacentral:rRNA from 1 species